rnacentral:rRNA from 1 species
CCUCCAGACUCCUACGGGAGGCAGCAGUGGGGAAUAUUGCACAAUGGGGGAAACCCUGAUGCAGCGACGCCGCGUGAGCGAUGAAGUAUUUCGGUACGUAAAGCCCUAUCAGCAGGAAAGAAAAUGACGGUACCUGACUAAGAAGCCCCGGCUAACUACGUGCCAGCAGCCGCGGUAAUACGUAGGGGGCAAGCGUUGUCCGGAUUUACUGGGUGUAAAGGGAGCGUAGACGGCAGUGCAAGUCCGGAGUGAAAGCCCGGGGCUCAACCCUGGGACUGCUCUGGAAACUGUAAAGCUGGAGUGCGGGAGGGGCAGGCGGAAUUCCUGGUGUAGCGGUGAGAUGCGUAGAUAUCAGGAGGAACACCGGUGGCGAAGGCGGCCUGCUGGACUGCGACUGACGUUGAGGCCCGAAAGCGUGGGGAGCAAACAGGAUUAGAUACCCCAGUAA